UACGUAGGGCGCAAGCGUUGUCCGGAAUUAUUGGGCGUAAAGAGCUCGUAGGCGGCUUGUUGCGUCGACUGUGAAAACCCGCGGCUUAACUGCGGGCUUGCAGUUGAUACGGGCAGGCUAGAGUUCGGUAGGGGAGACUGGAAUUCCUGGUGUAGCGGUGAAAUGCGCAGAUAUCAGGAGGAACACCGGUGGCGAAGGCGGGUCUCUGGGCCGAUACUGACGCUGAGGAGCGAAAGCGUGGGGAGCAAACAGG
rnacentral:rRNA from 1 species